rnacentral:rRNA from 1 species
GUGGGGAAUUUUGGACAAUGGGCGCAAGCCUGAUCCAGCAAUGCCGCGUGCAGGAAGAAGGCCUUCGGGUUGUAAACUGCUUUUGUACGGAACGAAACGGUCCUGGUUAAUACCUGGGGCUAAUGACGGUACCGUAAGAAUAAGCACCGGCUAACUACGUGCCAGCAGCCGCGGUAAUACGUAGGGUGCGAGCGUUAAUCGGAAUUACUGGGCGUAAAGCGUGCGCAGGCGGUGCUGUAAGACAGGCGUGAAAUCCCCGGGCUCAACCUGGGAAGUGCGCGUGUGACUGCAGGGCUGGAGUACGGCAGAGGGGGAUGGAAUUCCGCGUGUAGCAGUGAAAUGCGUAGAUAUGCGGAGGAACACCGAGGGCGAAGGCAGUCCCCUGGGCCUGUACUGACGCUCAUGCACGAAAGCGUGGGGAGCAAACAGGAUUAGAUACCCCAGUAGUCC